CAGAAGAGAUAACCAAUCUUGAAGGCCUUCGAUUUCUAAACUUGUCAAGAAAUAAUCUGUCCUGCGGUAUUCCUAAAAAUAUUGGUAGUUUGAAUGUUCUUGAGUCCCUUGACCUCUCAUUGAAUGAACUGUCAGGAGUCAUUCCUGUAGGCUUGAGUAAUAUGGUAUCCCUCAAUACAUUGAAUCUCUCAAACAACCAUUUAUCGGGGCAAAUACCCACAGGGAAUCAACUUCAGACCUUGAAUGACCCAUCGAUUUACAGCAACAAUCCUGGGCUCUGUGGACCUCCUUUGGAUAUUCCCUGCACAAAUGCUUCACCUGCACUGGACAAGAAAGACGGUAAAGAUUGUGACCAAUGGCUGU
rnacentral:lncRNA from 1 species